CACACACACACACACACUCUGAGUGAACAGUGAGUGGCGAGUCUCUGCUGCAGUUCAUUCUGCAUUUGAUGAUCUCAGAGCAGAGUGUGUGAAGAUGAUUCCACCUGGUGAUUGUCUGUACGCCGGCAGAAAGAGGAGGAAACCCGUUCAGAAACAAAAAUCAUCACCAGCCACUGAAAAAUCCAACCCGUCCAAACGCCACCGUGACCGUCUGAACACAGAACUGGACCGUCUGGCAGGUCUGUUGCCCUUUUCACCUGAGAUCAUCUCGAAACUAGACAAACUGUCUGUGCUCCGUCUGAGUGUCAGUUACCUGCGAGUCAAGAGCUUCU